rnacentral:rRNA from 1 species
AACGCUGGCGGCGCGCUUAACACAUGCAAGUCGAGCGAGAACCAGGACUUCGGUCUUGGAGACAGCGGCGAACGGGUGAGUAACACGUGGGUAAUCUGCCCUCGGUUCUGGGAUAGCCCGGGGAAACUCGGAUUAUUACUGGAUAGCCUCUCUGGCCCGCGGGCCGGUGAGCAAAGGUCGGUUCGGCACUCGUCUUAGGUUGAGCCCGCCGAGGAUUAGCUUUGUGGCGGGGCAACAGCCCACCAAGGCGACGAUCCGUAGCUGGUCUGAGAGGACGAUCAGCCACACUGGGACUGAGACACGGCCCAGACUCCUACGGGAAGCAGCAGUGGGGAAUCUUGCGCAAUGGGCGAAAGCCUGACGCAGCGACGCCGCGUGAGGGAAGAAGGCCUUCGGGUUGUAAACCUCUUUCAGGUGGGACGAAGCCACUCGGGUGAAUAGCCCAGAGGGUGACGGUACCUCCAGAAGAAGCCCCGGCUAACUACGUGCCAGCCGCCGCCGUAACAC